UACGUAGGGACCAAGCGUUGUUCGGAUUUACUGGGCGUAAAGGGCGCGUAGGCGGCGCGGUAAGUCACUUGUGAAAUCUCUGAGCUUAACUCAGAACGGCCAAGUGAUACUGCAGUGCUAGAGUGUGGAAGGGGCAAUCGGAAUUCUUGGUGUAGCGGUGAAAUGCGUAGAUAUCAGGAGGAACACCCAUGGCGAAGGCAGCUUCCUGGCCCAAUUCUGACGCUGAGGUGCGAAAGCGUGGGUAGCGAACGGG
rnacentral:rRNA from 1 species